rnacentral:rRNA from 1 species
GUGAGGAAUAUUGGACAAUGGGCGCAAGCCUGAUCCAGCCAUGCCGCGUGCAGGAAGACGCAUCUAUGGUGUGUAAACUGCUUUUGUACGGGAAGAAACACUCCCUCGUGAGGGAGCUUGACGGUACCGUAAGAAUAAGGAUCGGCUAACUCCGUGCCAGCAGCCGCGGUAAUACGGAGGAUCCAAGCGUUAUCCGGAAUCAUUGGGUUUAAAGGGUCCGUAGGCGGUUUAAUAAGUCAGUGGUGAAAGCCCAUCGCUCAACGAUGGAACGGCCAUUGAUACUGUUAGACUUGAAUUACAAGGAAGUAACUAGAAUAUGUAGUGUAGCGGUGAAAUGCUUAGAUAUUACAUGGAAUACCAAUUGCGAAGGCAGGUUACUACUUGUGGAUUGACGCUGAUGGACGAAAGCGUGGGGAGCAAACAGGAUUAGAUACCCGGGUAGUCC